rnacentral:lncRNA from 1 species
AAGAGAGGCAGUUUUGUCAUGAACACUUUGAACCCUUCUUUCUACACCUGUAUUCCUACUUGAGGAAGUCAAGGAGACAACUGGCCCCAUAAAUACCCUGGCACUUGUAGACACGUGCCUCCAGCUGAGUGUCUUAUAGCUCUUCAGUAAGCAGUGUUACACAGCACAUCAUCAUCAUCUAUACAUUCUAGAUCCCAGGAGACUCUAAUAUUGAGCUUGGGAAGGAAAACAAGUAAGUAUCUGGAACGUGGCAACAACAUAUAAUUUUCUUGGGUUCUAGACAU